UACGGAGGGUGCAAGCGUUAUCCGGAUUUACUGGGUUUAAAGGGUGCGCAGGCGGAUAUGUAAGUCAGUGGUGAAAUCUUUGGGCUUAACCCGAAAAUUGCCAUUGAUACUAUAUAUCUUGAAUGCUGUGGAGGUAAGCGGAAUAUGUCAUGUAGCGGUGAAAUGCUUAGAGAUGACAUAGAACACCUAUUGCGUAGGCAGCUUACUACGCAGAUAUUGACGCUCAUGCACGAAAGCGUGGGGAUCAAACAGG
rnacentral:rRNA from 1 species